UACGUAGGGUGCAAGCGUUGUCCGGAAUCAUUGGGCGUAAAGCGCGCGUAGGUGGCUUCGUAAGUCCGUUGUGAAAGUCAAAGGCUCAACCUUUGAAAGCCGAUGGAUACUGCGGAGCUAGAGUACGGAAGAGGCGAGUGGAAUUCCUGGUGUAGCGGUGAAAUGCGCAGAUAUCAGGAGGAACACCGGUGGCGAAGGCGGGUCUCUGGGCCGAUACCGACGCUGAGGAGCGAAAGCUAGGGGAGCGAACGGG
rnacentral:rRNA from 1 species